rnacentral:tRNA from 1 species
GGUUCAUUAGUGUAGCUGGUUAUCACAUCGGAUUUUGAGCCAAAAAUUCCGGGGACCCGGGUUCGAAUCCCAGAUUGACCU